UCCGCUACAACACACUCUUCCACAGCUAAACGCAGAACUGCACACACUUCCUGUGCUCGCUCGAGUUGUUGAUAAACAGAUGCUGAGCGCAAUCUUUGACAUCACAACAUAACGACAACCACUUUGAUUUAAAUCUUAAUUCAGUAGCUUGACGUUUUGCAGUUCCUAUGUCUGCUAUUACACGCUGAACAAUGAAAGACUUCGCUGCUCAGGGCAUUGAUGGAUUUAAUAAGAGAGUGUACCACAGCCAUGACAUAUAUGAUUUUGUCUGUCUCAGCAUUGCAUGCUGCUUAUUGGUUGUUCAAGGACCACAGAGCUUCAUCGGUGGGCUUCCUCCUGAUUGGCUGUUCCUCUGUCCUUUCAGUCUUUUCUCCCAGUAAUCAAACUGUCAAGUCACUCCAGAACGAUGUAGAAUGGGCAGGUGAAUCACUUGGUCCUGCGCUCAUUACUUUUGACUUCUUGUGGCUAAGUGAGGACCACAUCACUGCUCGUAUCCUCCUGAUUGGCUCUACUUUUUUUGUAAUACUCUCUGAUUGGCUAUCGUCAGAUGGGUUGGUCAUUAUGUCACGCUGCCUGGCCUUUUCCACCCUCUCCUGUUCGCUGACAGUGUGUGCGUUUGCUGAAAAUGCAGCAGGGGCAGUAGGGAGUGUAGCACUCAGUCUCCCUUUAUUAGUUUCCCCAAGGAGCAUAUCUGGAUCUUUGGGUUCCCUCAUGUUGCCUACAGAAGGACUUCUCAGCUGGAUCCUUAAAGUCAUCAUGGCAUUAGGAUGCUGGACCACUGGGAAGGCCCUUAAUAAAUACCUGUUUGAUUUAAAAGGCUGGGACUGAUGUAAGCAAUGGUUUCCAAAGACAACAGAAAACCACAAAAUGCUACUUUCUUACUCUCAGGUUAUUAUCAGGCAUAUACACUCUGUGUUACUGCAUGUAAAGGCCUUCUGCCUUAAUAAGCUAACAUUAU